rnacentral:lncRNA from 1 species
AUGAGCACACCUGCUACAGGUGCAGAACAGGGAAUUUCAGGAACCAUCCAGGCUAUAAGCCAGCCUCAGAGAGCUUCCUGCCCCUGCCACCCAGAUGGGACCUGCAGAAGCCGCCGUGUCCUUGGUACUAGCGUGUGUUUAAACAGAUCUUCUCAACAAGCCAACAGCAGGAGGUGCUGCCCUAAGAGUCUUCGGAUAUCAAGUUACUCUCUGCUCUUGAAACCUCAGUGUUGA